GACGAACGCUGGCGGCGUGCUUAACACAUGCAAGUCGAGCGGUAAGGCCCUUUCGGGGGUACACGAGCGGCGAACGGGUGAGUAACACGUGGGUGACCUGCCCUUAGCUCUGGGAUAAGCCUGGGAAACUGGGUCUAAUACCGGAUAUGACUCCAUGACGCAUGUUGUGGGGUGGAAAGCCUUGUGCGGCUAGGGAUGGGCCUGCGGCCUAUCAGCUUGUUGGUGGGGUGAUGGCCUACCAAGGCGACGACGGGUAGCCGGCCUGAGAGGGCGACCGGCCACACUGGGACUGAGACACGGCCCAGACUCCUACGGGAGGCAGCAGUGGGGAAUCUUGCGCAAUGGGCGAAAGCCUGACGCAGCGACGCCGCGUGGGGAUGACGGCCUCGGUUGUAACCGU
rnacentral:rRNA from 1 species